rnacentral:lncRNA from 1 species
AGAAAAAGCAUCAAUGUCGUUGGGUUCUUUAAUUGAGUAAACAACAUAAUCGAAUUUUGGUGAUAGGGAGCACAAUAUAUUCUCCACAAUGGUGACAUUUUCCAUUUUUUCAUCAUGGAAUCGUAUUUUGUUGUUGAUUUCCUUGGUUCUGGCAUAAUAAUUGAUGAUAGACUCACCAUCCCUUAUUUAUAGUCUUAAAAUCCCUCCUAAAGGCUUAAAAGUGUGCAUAUUUCACUAUCGAGGAGCCCUAAUGUUUUUU